ensembl:snRNA U2 U2 spliceosomal RNA
AUCGCUUCUCGGCCUUUUGGCUAAGAUCAAGUGUAGCAAUAUAUUUACUCAGAUAUUUAUUAAAUAAUACUCAGAACCCUCCAAAGGCACUACACAAAAGUUGUUCAAUUAAACAAUUUUUUUAGGGCGACUUUAACUUUC